UACGUAGGGUGCGAGCGUUGUCCGGAAUUAUUGGGCGUAAAGAGCUUGUAGGCGGUUUGUCGCGUCUGCUGUGAAAAUCCGGGGCUCAACCCCGGACUUGCAGUGGGUACGGGCAGACUGGAGUGUGGUAGGGGAGACGUGGAAUUCCUGGUGUAGCGGUGGAAAUGCGCAGAUAUCAGGAGGAACACCGAUGGCGAAGGCAGGUCUCUGGGCCACUACUGACGCUGAGAAGCGAAAGCAUGGGGAGCGAACAGG
rnacentral:rRNA from 1 species